AACGAACGCUGGCGGCAGGCCUAACACAUGCAAGUCGAACGGGACCUUCGGGUCUAGUGGCGGACGGGUGAGUAACGCGUGGGAACGUGCCCUUUGGUUCGGAAUAGCCCCGGGAAACUGGGAGUAAUACCGGAUAAGCUAUACGGGGGAAAGAUUUAUCGCCAAAGGAUCGGCCCGCGUUGGAUUAGGUAGUUGGUGAGGUAAUGGCUCACCAACCCGACGAUCCAUAGCUGGUUUGGGAGGAUGAUCAGCCACACUGGGACUGAGACACGGCCCAGACUCCUACGGGAGGCAGCAGUGGGGAAUCUUAGACAAUGGGGGAAACCCUGAUCUAGCCAUGCCGCGUAAUCGAUGAAGGCCUUAGGGUUGUAAAGAUCUUUCAGUGGGGAAGAUAAUGACUGUACCCACAGAAGAAGCCCCGGCUAACUCCGUGCCAGCCGCCGCGGUAA
rnacentral:rRNA from 1 species